UACGAAGGGGGCUAGCGUUGCUCGGAAUCACUGGGCGUAAAGGGUGCGUAGGCGGGUUAUUAAGUCAGAGGUGAAAUCCUGGAGCUCAACUCCAGAACUGCCUUUGAUACUGAUAGUCUUGAGUAUGGGAGAGGUGAGUGGAACUGCGAGUGUAGAGGUGAAAUUCGUAGAUAUUCGCAAGAACACCAGUGGCGAAGGCGGCUCACUGGCCCAUUACUGACGCUGAGGCACGAAAGCGUGGGGGAGCAAACAGG
rnacentral:rRNA from 1 species